rfam:Neurospora tetrasperma FGSC 2509 unplaced genomic scaffold NETTE2scaffold_1, whole genome shotgun sequence.
AUUUUUACAACGCAUUAUAUCACAUUCUCGGAAUGCAACUUGGAUGCGAGGUCCCCGGAUUCGUUCGGAGCUGACCCAGGACCAAUUCAUCGAUUUCGAACAGAAUGGAGAACAGACACCAGCGAACAAUCUUGGGUGCGGUGCUUUCCUUGCCCUUCGUGGCUCCAUGGAAAGGGUCGCAAUGAUUGGGCGUACAU